GUGUCCACGCGAAAGAGAGACAGUUACAAAGAAGGGAGGGAGACCGAGGGUUAAAAAGCAACCGUGUGAGUGGUAUGGAGAAAAUAGCGGGUGAAAGUUUCAGGCCGUGUCUGCAGUAGAAAAAGCUUGCGGGUUUCGUAAGUGUAGAGCGAAAAAAAAAUCGCGGGACGGGCGUUAAACGGGCAUUGUAAGAGUGGUAGUUGGCGGUCGAUCUCUUUUAUUUCUCAUUGCUAAUAUUAAACUGGCCGAUGGUACUCCGGCUUCUAGCGGGGAAGAUCGAAUUCCAUGUGCCCGGGAGCGUCGAACGGUGGUCUCGUUAUUUCGUAAUUUUCCUUAGCUACCGUAAUUGGAGCCUUUUGUACGCGCGUCGCUACUCUAACGAAGAAGAUCAUUAGCUUUGAGAAAAUCUGGUAGUCCCGCAAGUUUCUUGGCUCGAACACCUUCGAAAUGAGCUCACCGACACCUUUAGGGGUGGCUGAACGAGUUGGAAAGAACUGCGGAAGCCGUACGUCAGGGUUCGAGGAGGAUUUUACGGGACAUAGGAUAGCGGUUUGCCUCUCGCAUCGCGCGGUAGCAGAGGCGACAGCGACGGAGGAAGAAAAGCCCUUUCAGUGGUGAGGAACACGCGCACGGAACUCGGGGAAAGCUGGAUGGGAAAGAGGAAGAUGGAAAGGUACGACGGCGCGGCGGUAAGGAGAAAGCGCAGAAGCGAACCGUACGAGAGACACAGAGGGACCGUGAGGUAGAGGGGAAAUGGAAGAAGGGAUAGAAAUGCUUCGAAGUCUAACAAGCAUGCUGCCAGUGCGCUGGCACGCCACGCCAACUCUCGCAGAAACUUAUAAUUGCGAAAGGAGUCGGCAAUUAUAAUUGCCUCCGGCCAGCAGAGACGAAUGUAAUUACCCAAACACUGGCAAGUGGUGUGGCGGCGUGAUCGUAGCGAAAAUUGGGCGUAGAAAGUGCCAUGGUUUUACAAAUAUAUAAGUAUAGUUCAAAAGGCGGCUCUUGCUUCCGUUUAAAGUAAUCUCAUUAAGCAAACAAGAAUUUAAUCGGAACCAUGAGACCAUUUCGCUUCUCGUUCGGAUGAAUUGGUUCGCUGAAGGAAAGAGGAAUGGAAGACAGCGGGCCGCGAACGAAGCGGAGCUGUAAAUUUUUUUCGAUUAACACCGCCACCUUGUAAGCUUCGCGCGGAAAAAAGAAGAUUUCCGCGUUAAAGGCGCGCAGGAUGGCAGGGGCUUCUUCGCUCCCGGCUUUUACGAGAUCGGGCAAGGGACGACAGCGGGACAUCGAGGUAGUCAUUCAGAAAAUUACGUUGGGGGCCAUGAAGAAGGCAUCCGCAAUCACCAACGGGCGACGGGGGCACGGCGGCGUGCCCUUUCCUUCCG